rnacentral:tRNA from 2 species
GGCGGCGUAGCUCAGUUGGCUAGAGCAUUCGGUUCAUACCCGGAGUGUCAUCUGUUCGAGUCAGAUCGCCGCUACCA